UAGCUUUGCUAAAGUUUACUGACAUGUGUUUUUUUUUCUGCAGUCUGGACUUCUUAGUGCUUAUACCAUUAAGAAGUUGUACUUUGGCAGGCAUUCAACCUAUCGUGAAGUUUCCAUUAUGAUGCUAAUGGCUUAUUUAUCUUACAUGCUAGCUGAAUUGCUCGAUUUGAGUGGCAUUCCCACUGUGUUUUUCUGCGGUAUCGUAAUGUCACACUAUACUUGGCAUAAUGUAACAGAAAGUUCGAGGGUCACAACCAAGUAAGUAGCUUCAUACCUUCUGUAUGGACAUUUGCUUUUGAUCAUGCAUUCUUUGGUAAUGCUUAUGCUAAUGUACUAUUGGAUGGAUCACAUGCAUGCCUUUGCAACAUUGUCGUUUAUCUCCAAGACUUUUCUGUUUCUUUAUGUUGGUAUGGAUGCAUUGGAUAUAGAGAAGUGGAAGAUUGUCGGUCAAACUUAUAGCCCGGUAAAGUCUAUCGCUUUGAGCAGCACCAUUUUAGCCUUGGUGCUGGUUUCAAGAGCUACUUUUGUUUCCCCACUAUCCUUUCUAUCAAAUUUGACAAAAAAAACUCCAAAUGGAAAUAUAUCUUUUAGGCAGCAGGUUAUUGUUUGGUGGGCGGGUCUCAUGAGAGGUGUUGUGUCUAUUGCGUUGGCUUACAAUAAGGUAAAUCUUGUGAUUGGUCUAUCUGGUUUGAGCUUUGGUCUGGAAUUGUGUUACUGCUUUUGUUUCAUCUAUCCAUUCCAAAACAUAGGACAUUUUUUGUUGUCGUAA